rnacentral:rRNA from 1 species
GAUGAACGCUAGCUACAGACUUAACACAUGCAAGUCGAGGGGAAACGAUAUUGGAAGCUUGCUUCCGAUAGGCGUCGACCGGCGCACGGGUGAGUAACGCGUAUCCAACCUGCCCAUCACUUGGGGAUAACCUUGCGAAAGUAAGACUAGUACCCAAUGAUAUCUCUAGAAGACAUCUGAAAGGGAUUAAAGAUUUAUCGGUGAUGGAUGGGGAUGCGUCUGAUUAGCUUGUUGGCGGGGUAACGGCCCACCAAGGCGACGAUCAGUAGGGGUUCUGAGAGGAAGGUCCCCCACAUUGGAACUGAGACGCGGUCCAAACUCCUACGGGAGGCUGCAGUGAGGAAUAUUGGUCAAUGGGCGAGAGCCUGAACCAGCCAAGUAGCGUGCAGGAUGACGGCCCUAUGGGUUGUAAACUGCUUUUAUAAGGGAAUAAAGUGGGAGUCGUGACUCCUUUUGCAUGUACCUUAUGAAUAAGGACCGGCUAAUUCCGUGCCAGCCGCCGCCGUAA